ACCAAGGCAACGAUCAGUAGCCGGUCUGAGAGGAUGAACGGCCACAUUGGGACUGAGACACGGCCCAAACUCCUACGGGAGGCAGCAGUGGGGAAUAUUGCACAAUGGGGGAAACCCUGAUGCAGCGACGCCGCGUGACUGAAGAAGUAUUUCGGUAUGUAAAGGUCUAUCAGCAGGGAAGAUAAUGACGGUACCUGACUAAGAAGCCCCGGCUAACUAC
rnacentral:rRNA from 1 species